GCUUAAAGCCAUACCAGCCUGGGUACGCCCGAUCUCGUCUGAUCUCGGAAGCUAAGCAGGGUCGGGCCUGGUUAGUACUUGGAUGGGAGACCGCCUGGGAAUACCAGGUGCUGUAAGCA
rnacentral:rRNA from 1 species